rnacentral:tRNA from 1 species
GUUCCUGUAAUGCAAUGGAUAGCCCGUUGGAUUUUUAAUCCAAGGGUCGUGGGUUCGAAUCCCACCUGGGAUG